rfam:Gasterosteus aculeatus cont1.002344, whole genome shotgun sequence.
GCUGCCGCUGUCCCCGAGCCACAGCCCUAUUUAAAGAAGCUAUAAACAUGAAUUAUUGCCAAACGCAUGCGGGGACUCAGUCCCUUUCACAGGAAUUGGGGAGUUCCGUAUGAAAAUGUAAGCGAGGUAUUAUUUGAGCACAUUAAGCCACAAUUGGUCUCCUUAAUGUCCGUCUCAUUCAUGCCACGGAGUGAUUUAUGAGCUCCUGAAGGCAAACAUGGCUCGGGUAUUCGCCUCCAAC